CACGUAGGGCGCAAGCGUUGUCCGGAAUUAUUGGGCGUAAAGGGCGCGUAGGCGGCCUGGCAAGUGGAAGGUGAAAUCCCUCGGCUUAACCGAGGAACUGCCUUCCAAACUGCUUGGCUUGAGUCCGGGAGAGGUGAGUGGAAUUCCCAGUGUAGCGGUGAAAUGCGUAGAUAUUGGGAGGAACACCAGUGGCGAAGGCGGCUCACUGGACCGGAACUGACGCUGAUGCGCGAAAGCGUGGGGAGCAAACGGG
rnacentral:rRNA from 1 species